GGGGGAGGUUAGAUCAUGAGGAGGAAGGUGAGGUCGACCCAACUGAUGGGCCCAAUCGUGCUUACGUGGCCUGUUUUGAAAUACUAGGAAGAUUAUUAUUGGAGAUCUGCCGUGGGAUAACAUGAUUUUAGAGAAAAAAUAUUUAAAAAAAAGGUAAAGACUUCUUUCCAACCUGCUGUAAUUUUGUUCAACUGCAUGGCCGCGUCGAUCUGCCGUCC
rnacentral:lncRNA from 1 species